UCUGGAGGGGAAAAUGAUAGGACAAGGGGGUUAGGAAGGCACAAAAAGGGAAUGAGGGGGAAGGGAGGCAGAGAAAAGAUGUUUGCCAAGGGCCUAAUUAGCAUGAGUGAAAAAAUGAUGAUAGGGUGAACAGAGAAGAGAGGCUGGGAAGGGAGAGCUGUGUGUAUGGAAAGAGCAGCUGGUGGAGAGAAACCAGAUGAAAGGGAAGAAACCUGAAGCAGGAGCUGGGAUGAGAAAACGAGAGGGGGGAGGGCAGAAGGAUUAGUUGUUUCCAGGGACUUUUUCAGCAGAAAAUUAGGGUUAGGGGAAAUGGAAAUCUGUGGAAAGGGAUGAGAGAGAGGAGAGAUUAAAUGAGGGAGGAAAAUCUGUGGUUUUAUAUGUCUCCUCUCCUGGUAGAAGAGAAUUUCAUUUCAGAAUAGCUGUGCGCUUGGUUACACUGAGAGGAAAACCUGGGCAAUCAAAGCAAGAAAAAGGAUGAAGAUCCAUAAGUAAUGGAAAAAGAGCAAAGGAGCAGAACCAAACUGUAGAGACAUUUAUUGCUGAGAGACUGAAACUGGAUUUUCUUAGGGUAGAAGCGGGUUCAGCUCCCCUUCUCUCUCUGGAGCAACACUGGGACAACAGUUUUGCUGUUUCUCUGUUGGUUUUGCUGUUGUUCAGUUACAUCCGUGCUGUGCGCAUGUGAACAGGGCUUGUCCAUGGAGCUGUUUUUCAUUCCUAGGCUGGUCCAUGAGCCAGCACUGUGCCCUUGUGGCCAAGAAGGCCAAUGGCUUCCUGGGGUGUAUUAGAAGGGGGGUGGUUAGUAGGUCGAGAGAGGUUCUCCUUCCCCUCUACUCUGCCCUGGUGAGACCACAUCUGGAAUGUUGUGUCCAGUUCUGGGCCCCUCAGUUCCAGAAGGACAGAGAACUGCUGGAGAGAGUCCAGCACAGGGCAACAAAGAUGAUGGAGUGAAGCAUCUCCCUUACGAGGAAAGGCUGAGGGAGCUGGAGCUCUUGAGCUUGGAGAAGAGGAGACUGAGGGGUGACCUCAUUAAUGCUUAUAAAUAUAUAAAGGGUGAGUGUCAGGAGGAUGGAGCCAGGCUCUUCUCAGUGACAACCAAUGGCAGGACAAGGGGUAAUGGGUACAAACUGGAACACAGGAGGUUCCACUUAAAUUUGAGAAGAAACUUCUUCUCAGUGAGGGUAACAGAGCCCUGGAACAGGCUGCCCAGGGGGGUUGUGGAGUCUCCUUCUCUGGAGACAUUCAAAACCCCCCUGGAUGCCUUCCUGUGUAACCUGAUCUAGGUGUUCCUGCUCUGACAGAGGGAUUGGACUAUGAUCUUUUGAGGUCCCUUCCAAUCCCUAACGUUCUGUGAUUCCUCAGGAGCACUGGGCACAGAGAAUGGCUACGUUGGGUCUGCAGCCCUGAGGCCAGGUGUGGGGCUCAGAAAGCAGCAUGGUGCAGGGUGCUCUACCUCCUGAGCUGCUCCCGAAGGAAGAUAUAUGCUUGCAGCAGCCUGUCCUGCUCCACCACCUAUCUGUGAGCUCAGGUGAAAGUUCGCUUUUAGUUACUGACUUUUCACAUUCCCUUUGGAGCCACCCCUGUUGAGCUGUGCUGGUGUGCGGUGCUCAGGAUGCUGAGCCCCUGGGUGCAUCUGUGAUGCCCAGACCAUGCAGCUGGGAAAGACACUCAAACCAGAGAGAAGCCCAAACCGUGGCAGCAAUGCUGGCCCCUUGGACGUGGCUGUGGUGGGACUGUUUCUGCCAUUGGGCAGAGGCAAUAUCAGGGUCCGUGUAAUUAACUCUCAUUUCUUGAUUUCUAUCUGCAAUAUCUACCCUCUAUAAUUCUGGUUAGAUGUGUCUAUCAUGUGUAGAGAUGUUGCUUGCUAUUCUUGCCUGGUGUGUACAUCAAUACUGGUGUGCUCCCACGGGCAGUGGAAACUCACAUCUGAUUCAAGAAAAAGUUAUUGGCUGAACAAUACAAGCUAUGUCCAUACCGAUGGCUGGGUCCAUGAAAAACAGCACUGAGUAACCUGGGAACUGGAUUGCAGGGUUUUUUUGUAAGAGGUUGGUUGGUUGUUUUUUUGUUUUGUGUUGUUGUUUUGUUGUUGUUUGUUUGGUUUGGUUUUUUUAAAUUUAAUUUUAUGUGUGUGAAUUUUUGACAGACCUGAUAAAAACAAGUAACAGCUUUCACAUAACUUAAAAUACGUUCCCCUUAUACUGCAACAGGGUCUUUGGUAAAAUCAAAUGAAAACUAUCCAUGUAGCCUAUCAAAGGUGCUUGUGGAAAGGGUCCUGCUGUGAAUUAUAGAUAGCUUUGCAUUCUAAUGCAUUUCUGGAUAGCUUUUGUUUCAGUGUGAGGCUUACACUCAGCAUAGAGGAAAAAAAAUGUCUGUUGAGCAGAGGUCAUUAUCAAAAUAAUGAGGCCGUAACACAAGCUCAAAUCCUGCUCCUUGUCACCACCCAAGCCACACACUGGACCAAAUGGUGAGGGGGUCCCUGCACCUUUGCAGCAAGCCCCCAGCAAUGUGAUGCUGUCUUGCUGCCCUUGUUGCUUGUCCUGGGUGUAAAAUGUAUGUCACUGUGCAAACAGGUGUUUUGCCUCUGGAUGUGGGAAGGAAAAAUCCAGACCUGGGCAAAAUGGAAAGCAGGGUGAUCGUGGAGGAGCAAAGUGAAUCCUGUCUGAGGAUGUAAGUGAGGGCGAUCACCAUGGGUGUUAUGAGAAAAUCCUUCUUACGUGGGCAUCUCUGCCGUAAUGUAACUGUGCUGCAGGCAAAAAAGCACAGUCUGACUUGGUAACAGAUAAAGGCUAAGUGAAACUUUUCUUGUUUAUUUUUCUUAGCUUUACAGCUCGUAACUAGAGUGGCUGGGUUUCUUCUUAAAAAAAAAAAAAAAGAAAUUGAAAUGUCUGAAAGCUAAAGAAAAUUGUCACUGAACAGUUUCCUGCUUUUCUAAAAAUUUCAAACAUUACUUUGUUUUGAACUUUUCUUCUAUUUUUCUUCAAUUGUAACUAAAAACUUUAACACCAUGGCCUAGUACCAAACCAGGUAUUAAAUUUCACAUCAAACUGAACUGCCAGUACGAAUAGUGCUCAUAUUAACAGCCAUUUUCAUAACACAAUGCAAGGGGCCUGCUGAGGCUGGAAAUCUUGUGUGGAAGGGGAGACUCGGUGGGCCAAGGCUGCAGGGUGAAACUCUCUUACUGAGACAGGUCCUGCCCUGCAUUGUGCCCUGGUGCAGCAGCCAGAAGUCAAGUGCAUGCCGUGGUGUGUCUCUUUCACUGAUGGACUCAGAUCAUACAGUCAGAUUGUACUGGCCUUACAGGCAACGUGGGCUGGAAUACGGAAACUACAGUCCUGCCUUUUCUGCCUUUAACAGGAGUUCAAGACUCUGAACCUUGGUGAUCUUCUCCCUUGCUCCCUCCAAUUAUAGGAGGCCAAAGUGACUUUGCUUGCUGGAGAAAAUACAAACAAACAAAACCACCAAACACAAAACCAGAACAAAACCAAACAACAACAGCAACAAAACAAACAAACCAAGCCCAAAACAACAAACCCCAAUAGCCCUGGAAAAAUAUCCAACUUCCUGCCCUGGCCAAAUUAGGUUGGUGGUGUGUUUGUUGUUGGUUUUUUUUGUGGUUUAUUUUGUUUUGUUUUUGUGUGUGUGGUGGUUUUGUUUGUUUGUUUUGAUGAACUGAUGCUUUGAGGAAAGUGAAGAUUAUCAGAGAUCGAGCACUGAGAUGGCUGUAUGUGAUGCGUGAUAAACCAACCAAAUCAGUGUGGUUUCAGUUUAACUGUUUUAGCAGCCAGCAGGCAGAUGCAGAGGGGUGGAAGGAUUUGGGGUUGUACAUAUAGUCUUGCUGCCUGUGAUGAACGAGCCUGUGAUCAGCGUGAUGAGCUGUUGGGUCCCUGACCUUCACUAUCCAUGAGCAGGGAGCGGUGACAGUUGCAGUCUUGCCGUUGGCUUCACUUUUAACGGUUUUGUUUCCUGUGUUGUGGUGGACGGGUUCACAGGCAGCGCUUCCUGGCAGAUAUCAGCCGGGGACCACAGAGAGCUGGAUCAAUAGUCUCACCGCUGUGAUGUCCUUUUGAUUAGUGCAGUGUUUCAGUGGCCAAAUCCCCUUGUUGUAUUAGCUGCCCUUGGCUGGAGGCACCGGACUGAGCCAGGCUUGGCCUGUCUCAGAAGUGACAAGGUUUUCUAUAACAUCCCGUUAUUGGCAACUUCUACUUUGUGCCAGAUACAGACAACAAACUUCGUUUUUGUCUGCCAGAGGAGAAGCAGCUAUAGAUAUCUCCUGUAUGCAAAUCUGCAUGACUAAGUGAAGAGCACAGCCACUCGUGGGGUGUCAGGGUCCCCUCCUGGACACCCAGGGACCUCUCUGGUUUUCUGGUCAAGAGUUGUUGUAAAACACACUUUACUCCUCCCCUUCCUGUCUUUAGAAGGAAAAUAAUUUGGCCAAAAACACACUUCCAAGUCCACUUCUGUACAUUAUGGGUUUGAACAGCAAGGUUAUGCUUGGGUUGUUCGCCGCCGUUUCCUGAGAAGAUGAUGUUUAUGGAAAGCUUGGUUAUCACAUGUGCAUUUGGGAGCUGUCCCCUGUGGCAGAGGCAGCCUGGCCACCCAUUGCUGGUGAAGCUGAGACCCCCAGAAGGGCAGACGUCAGGAGCCACCAGCCCCACCACCACACAGACCAUCCUUCCUACCAGAAGGCUAAAGCCAGCCUAUGAAACAAAACUCUCCCAGACCCUGGACCUGGGAAUCAACUAUUUGUUGAUGCUCUGGCCAUGCAUCCCAGCUCAGGUGCAGACAUCUGGGGGGAAAAAGACCUGCACACCUGGGAGCGGAGGAGACACCAGAGGCACACCUGCAUGGAAGUUUGUUUUCAUUCAGUUGCAGAAGGGCUGGAACUCCAGCAGGCUGGGAUAAGAGCCCUACCCUUUCCUUGGUGUGGCGAGCACGGUACAGGGGAUGGAGGGGAAUGCUGGUACUCAAAGUACAACCAUGAGGACUUGGUUGAGUCUUUCCAGCAGCUAUCAAAAAAGAGUGUUUCACCUUUUUCCUGUUUUGAAAAGGAGGAACAUGAGAGCCAGAGGGUGAAAUGCUAAAUAGUGUCUGGGGCAAUCACAGCGUCAGUCGCCAAGAUACCUGCCCACACCCAGGACUGUGCCAAUAAACUGCUGACUACAACCAAUAUUAUAAAAAUUCCUCCCUGGAUGUCACAGACAUAUGGAUAGUUAAGCAUGUCUCGAAAACUCACUGGGCAAUGACAUAUUUCCUCUUUGGGUUGACUCAUGAGCUGCUCCUCCUGGUUGCCAUGAAAGUUGGAAGCGCUUUAACACUGCCUGCUGCAAGUACAUUUCAUGAAGAGAGAAAACCUCAAUAUUAUUUCUGGGUUCACUGGUUUGACCCUUUCGCUUUUGCAGUUCGUGAGCUUUGCCAGUCUGACAUUUGUUAAAUAGCUUGUUAGUGGCAGAAGUAACGACAAUAAAAUUUCUGUGUAUAAUUUAAAGCAAACAAUCUCCUUUCUUAAUCUGGCCUUCAAGACCUGAAGUAAACAACCACACUUCAAGGCAACACUACUAAGAAAAGAAAAGUCUGUCGGGUGCUACUCUUUUUUAAACCAUGAGACAAAAUGUUUAACAGUCUAAAAGCUCUAAGCCCUGAGUUGUCACAGGGAGAUAACAGUGCUGUUAAUUAAACAAUCAAAUAUUACUUUGUUAGUAAAUUCUUGCAUUGGUCUGACAUGGCUUGUGCUUGCUUAUGAGACAUGCAACUCUCUUCUUUCGAGCAUUUAUAAUGGAAUUUUUACAGUAAGUUAUUUAAUGUAAUUUCUGUAAUUCUCUAAUCCUUAUAUUUGCAUCAAUGCUGAGUGUUGAUUAUGACCUGGCUCAGAGUACUUAUCUGUGCUGAUUUUCAGCAGCUGUUGGGGAAAACAACACAAAAAGGGGUUUAAUGGUGUGCAAGUUUGCCACUGUUUCAGACCUUGUUUUCUGUCACAUGGGCAGAGGGGAAAGCAAGAGCGAAAAGGCUGGAUAGAGCCAUCAGGGCAGCUGACAGGGACACCAGGAGCUGACCCAGCUCCUGUGCCAGUGACUCCCGAGCAGGCACAGUUUAUAUGGGGAUGGACAACAUCUCCUGUCGCGUCUACUCACCCUGCCGCACGGAUGGUUACAUCGCCUGCGAGCUGCUGAUGGCCUGAGCUUCCAUCCCGGUGCUUCAAGGGAAACGAGAAGCACUGCUGAUCCACCUCGCCAGGUGGACGGCAGGCAGAGCGCUGGCACCUGGCGUAGGGAGCCAGGGGGACAACACAGGGACAGCACAGAGUUCUGCCAGCAGAAGCCACCCAGCCCUGGAGCCAGCGCCAGCCCGUCAUGCAGGGCCAUGGGCCGCUCAGUCUGAAACUGCUGGUGGGUUUAAAUCAGGCCGAGCAUUUCACAAUGCAAUCUCUCCCUGCAGUUCCUUACGUGGGGCCUGUAUUAACUUGUAUACUGUACAGCUCCUUCACAGCCUGCAGUACUUUUAACGUGUAAUAUACAUGUUUAUCUCAAUGGGGAUAGACACCAAUUAACACUGCUCACUAAUGAGGGCACAAUCAACUUGCAUAACCUUGAACCACGGAGUGCACACAGUGAUGUAUGAAUGAGAGGUUAACUGCAGAUGACAGCUCAUUUCUUUUUGUUCUUCUGCCCAGAACAUCCUGCCAAUAUGCACAUUACAAAUAAUGCGAUACUGCGAUGGUAAGGGGGGACAUUUCAGAAAUUAAUGUUGCUUCUUUGUUUUAGGAGUGAUUGCACAAUUUUGGGUGUUUCAGCCCGAAUACCAUCUACCGCCUUGGCUGCUGGGAUCAGCUCUUUCCACCCAGGAUCUCCGGAUCUCCACUGCUGGUACCCUCGACCGCAGCCGGGUUCUGCUUUCUGAAUUAGAAAGUUGAAUGUGAAAUUAAUUAACUUAAAAACCUACAGAAAAGGGCAAGUGGCAUUUUUGAUGUCUGAGACGCCUGUGCCCAUCUGACUCACAGUUCGGAACUCGCGGAGAGGUGUCAUUCGUAAUUCGUGUAAAUGCUCGCUUGCUCACCCACCCACAGCCCUGUUACAUACUGCUUUUCCGUGCAAAAUGCCCAGCCAGCAUAAAGCCCAGUUAGCAUCACGAUAUCUCUGCUCUCACACAGAUUAUGCCACAUCAGUGUUCUUUCUGUGGGGGAUAUAUUUACUUGCUGUAAGGAGCCACCUAGUGAAGGUUUACUGCACAUAAAAUCAAAAUAACCAUUUCUUCACUGUUUCCAAGCAAUACUGAAAGAAAAAGUGCUAUUUCUUUUUCCUCUUACCCCCCUCCAUGUGCUCCUGCUGCACUCGAGCCACAUCUAAAGCAAACAGAUCGAGCAGGUCAGGCUGCACAGGACUGAAUGCUUAUUCCUCUGGCCUCCUUUUACAAAAGGCAGGGAGCACACGUGCUCGCCCUCGCUCAGCUGUACUCUUGGGGUAACCACGGAGUAAGGACGAGUCCCAAGGGACGUGCCCUCUGCACCGGCAAGAGUGAAAGCAAAGCGAGUGGGUGGAGAAUACAGGGAAGGGCCAUGCUAGGCAGAAGUGAAAGGCCUUAAAGCUGGUCCCGUUUUAGCGUAUUGGGAACGGAAGAGCCGAGACAGAGGGUGAAGUGCCCCUUGUCACGCAGGCAGUGGUGGCAUAGCUGGGGACUUAAUUCAGUUUACAGAAGGCUAAGCCACAGCUCCAGUCAGCAGGCAGAUAAAGGGAGUGGUGUUUGAAUGGGGGCACUUCUGUGCUAGUUGGCUUUUUUUUUGUUGUUUUGUUCUUUAAAGGACAAUGAACUUCAGCAGACAAAAAUGCAAGAGUAGAGCUGAGAGUGUCUGUACACUAUAGAAAUUGGGAGUUAUUACUGUUGGAGCACCAAAAGCACGGCCACAUUGCAAAUCUAUAUUAUUAUGAAUUUUACAGUCUGCAGAAGAUACUGAAGUUAAAUAUUAAGCACUCAGUCAGGGAAAUGACAGCAGCUUUUCUACAGCUUAGAAGCAGGAUUUUGUGUCGUGCUCUGAAACUACACCCAGCGCAUGUGGCUGGGUGGAGGGAGGGGGUGCAGGGGCAGCAUCCCUUGUUUUGGUAGUACUGCAGUGGUCUCCAGGUUAAAUCCCAGUGGCCGCAGACAGCGGGGUCUCCAUCAGGGUGUGCUUGGGAUGCUCCACAACAGGCAAUAUGCCUGAGUCUCCAUCGUGACAUCGGCUCUGGAGCCUCCUUCGGCCCCUUCAACCCCUCAGGGUGGGAGUCUGCAAGCAAGCAAGCAGCUCUGCAGCACUUUGAGCAGCCUUAUGCUGUGCUGGCACCGGACUAAUCCUCCCCAUCUUCUGCCUGUGUGUUUCCAGCGCUGAUUCUCAGUAGGCAGCUCUUCUGUCCCUUGAUAGCUCGGCUCUGUGCUCUCCUGUGUUGUCCUCAGCUCCAUUCCCCUGGGCACAUCCAGCCAGCCCUUGGUGGGGGAGCGCUCAGCAUUGGCUCCUCUGUAGGGCUGCAAAAAAUGGCUGGCACACUGGGGAAAGAGACUCUGAGACAUCAGGACAGUAAUUUUUCAUAGCUAUACUGCUAUAGGAUAUAGCAGUAGGGAAAGUAAUCCAACUUCUAUAAACAAGCCUGUACUCUACAAAACCCAGACACUCUCUCAGGCACAAGAAAAUACUCAGAAUUAUGAAUGCCUGUCAUUUUACAAUAACUAUUCCCUCCCCCACCCCCCCCGCUUUUCUUUAAUGCAAACAAUGAAAACCUUUUUUUUUUUUUUUUUUUACAGUGAGAAAAUCCCCAUUUUUUGUCGGUGGGAACUAUUUGACUACAUCAAUGAUUAAUAGGUUUAAUGUAACAGCUGAAACUGAAAUUUAAAAAGUAAACAAGCUAAACAGAGCCGAAUGGAUUUGUUAUAAUGAUUUCAUUAGGGAUUUUUAAAAGUUUGCUUUAGACUUGCAGUUUGUUGUCAGAAAGAAUUGGCUGAAUUCAGUCAAAAUGGUUUGUUCUUUGUCUGUCCGUGGUCACCAUAGCUACCACUUCAAUCUGUUAACAUAUGUGGUAUUAUUUUGUUCCUUUCUCUUAAACUCUAUUCACAGAUGCUGUCAAGAUUUUCCUUUGUACAUAUCUGAUCGGUUCGUGCCAGGUUUGGCUCUGUGCCUUUUCAGACGAGAGCCCCUGUGAUGAGGACAAGGUGUCCAGGCAGGUGGUGCAGCAACGGGAACAGGAGAAGCUGGGGUGGGGAUGGCUCCUGCUUGACUGCGGCAUGGGGUCUGUGAGAAAUACCUUGGGAAGACACAGGCAGGGGUGGAUCUUUUUUCUGGAGAGGUAGGUAUUCCCUGCGUGUGCUGUGCCAGAUCCUCAGCUGCCACAAAUCAGUAUAAAAGCAUUAAUUUUAGUGGAGCUGCCAUGCCUGCUGAUGACCAGGUCCUGUGAUGUUGCUCAUUACACAGGUUUUGGGUAAGAAGCCAAGAGAUGAAGGGAGGCACGGCUGCAACAUUUAAAAUAAAUAAGUAAUAAGAUUGUAUAGCCUCUAUUCUCUUGCUUUUUCCAGUCUUAGAAAGGGUUCAGGUUGCCACUGAGUAUGGAGGUUUAUCCACUCUGUACAAUGGAGGUGACUGGAAUAUUUAGUGGAGAUCAGAUUAUCCACAAUUCACAUUUUAAUUGGCAUCGAGUGGGGAAAAAAAAGUCGGUUUUCUCUAUUGCUGAAUGUGAAGAUGAUUGAGACAGCUUAAUUUUCUUUCCAGCUGUGAAGCAGGCAGGUAAAUGUAUUGAUGUAUGUAUGCAGUACAGUUUAUAGUGGGGAAGCCAUAAGAGAAAUCAGAUAGUCUGCAAAACAUACAAUUUUCUUUCACAACAAACCUCUCACAGUAAAGUUGAGUCUGUCCUUUAUUUUUUUUCUUUUUUUAAUAGUAUAAAAGCCUCUGCUUAAAGCUGUGUGUGUCUGAUUUUCAGAGCUGCUGAGCACCCUGCUCUCUGUUUUCUUUUAACUGGAGAUGUAGGUGUUCAGCAUUCCUGGCAGCCAGGGCCCUCUGCUAAUGCCUGCAGAGAGUAGCUGGGAAAAGUGUGAGAAACAUUAUUGUAAUGAGGGGCUAAUUCUGCCUCUCCUUCCUGCCUCUCAGCACAGAUGAAAGGGUGCCUGCGAGCCAUGUUAUGUGCAUGGAGAAAGGGAAUUCUGAUUUACUGGCUCUGGCUCCCCAGGGGCAGCGAUGCUCUCCUAGCACAACUCACAGUAAGUCACAUCUGCAUUUCCAGUAUAAGGCCCAUUUUUAGGGACUCCUAGUUUGGCUAUAAAAAUUCACUUAGCAUGCAUGAAUAGAAACCAAAUUGACAAGAUAGACCAUAACUGCUCUGAAAGGGCCAUUAGUUCCUGUUGCAUGAAAAAUCCACGUUUUAAAAAAGCAAGUAUUGUUCACAUUUGCACAACAGGCUGUAACUGUUCCUUUCUAAGUCAUUAUAGCCUGUACAGAAAUAAUCAUUUUCAAAAUUGCUAUUGAUACCACAGGCACAGAAACAGGAGGAGGCAGAUGCCUGCGCUUGAUAUUAAUCUACCACCUUCCAGUGCCUCUGAGCAGGUUCGGAUCAGAAUAAACUCUAGAUUUACACAGAUGUGACAAUGACAAGGGGAAGACUACAGUAGAAAGAUUCAGUCUGAUGACUGAGAAUUCAGUGCAGGGUUCCUGGUGUCUCCAGAUGAAUCCCAGAGGCACAGUGGCUGGGAGGGGGUACUAACAAGUUGUCCAUUGAGAAACACCAUCCAGCCCCUGUGCUGUGCUGGGGAGGGGGACAGGGAAAUGAAUCUGUCUUUGGUGUUUAAUGAGGGAAAAGUCCAGGGCAGAUAGGAAUAUAGCUCUUUUUCUAAUUGUGAUUUUCAGAGGUACUAGGUCAUGGCAUUCUCUAAGAUUGUUUCUUUUAGCUGGUGAUUAAUCCCUUGACACCAAACUGAGGUUUUAUUGAUUUCUUUCUUUUCCAGGUUUUCAUGUGUUGCAGGUUUUCUUUAGACUAGUAGCAGUGAGGAACUACCUUUGAUUUCUCUCUCCUCCCCCUGAGAUCACUAGCAUUUGAGAUUUCCCGAUUACGUUUGGAAUGAAUGGAAGAGAAAAUGUAAAAUCACAGGUUGGCAGUAGAGCCCUGAUGAAUUGUGCUGCGCCUUAGGGGUGUGUUCACAGAAACACCGGGCCUGAGCUGUCCUGUACUGGUUUUACAACAAACGGAAUUUCCAGGGAUUUAGGCAGCGUGAUCCCCAUGUACGUCAGAAGGUUGUGAAUAAGAUGGUUAUCUCCACUCCCAUGUGUGUACAGACAUACCAACCUAUACAUUUUUUACCCUGUUACAGAAGUUUGCUUGGACCCAUGACUACAUGUUCUGAGGGCAAUUUCAGAUGAAUUUCUAACAGUUCCCUUUCCUGUGGGAAUGCCAGUGGUCACGGGCCCUGCAGGAUACCCCUGGCUGAAUUUCCCAAAGAUCAUCCUGUGGCAUGGGAAGAGCCUGGGUUGAAUGGUGCAGCAAAGGGUUGUGUUGGCAGAAAUUCAAACCAGCGUUUUUUUGGUAGGAUUUCAGGAGCAAGCAGCUGCCUCUCAGCUGCACCUUUCUUCACCAUCGCUGGGAUUACCACAAGAGCAGCCAGGCAGGCGAAGAGGAGCCCCAGGGAGGCAGGGGACCGUUGUCCUGGGGGACUUUGCUGCAGGGUUUCUGCUGGUGGCCUGGGCAUGGGUGCAGGAGGCUGCCUGCAGUGCUGCAGGGGUGGGACACCUCUCUCUGGGCUGCCUUUUCAGCUCCCACCCAUGGAUCCCAGCGACACGGGCCACUGGAAAGCUGCCACCACCAUGGAGGGUCUCAUGUGGAGGAGCUGUCCUGCUGGAUCUGGCCGGUGCUUCUCACGGUCUGUUGGCCUCGCCACCAGCAGUAUCUGUCAAAGGAGUAGCUGCUCCUGGAGAAAGCUUCUUCUGACACUCAAAAAAAAAUAGACUAAUUUAAAUGCUGAAGUGCAAGGGAUCGUGUUCCGUGCAAAGCUCUUAAAAUUAGCAUCUACUGCUAAACCCCUGGAUUGCUUAAUGUACAGCAUCCCAUCUUUGUCCUACUAGGUCUUGUGACAAAGAGCUCCCCAAAGGGACUGUGUGUAUUUCUUGUUCAAAAUCUCCUGUGAGAAGAAUUAAGUUAUUGGACACCCGGUCCCCCUGAAAACAAUGGCAGCUGUCCCCUGGGACUCCAUGUCCCCUCACAGACCUCAGCAAUGUGCACUGGCUGCCCCGCUGCCGAGGUGGUGAUGAUGGAGAUAAGUGAAAUGAAGGAAGUGUAUAAAGAGAGAGUGGUAUUUUCCCAGGUAAGCAUUGUGCUAGCUGCAAUUGGGUCUACUGUGAAGUGUCUCCCCUAAAGGAAAUCUCUUUUCCCCAUUUGUUUUUUUAAGGAGUGAUGAAUCUCGUCGCACCUUGUGUUUCUCUUCUGAUAUGGAUAUUUUCUACUUAAACACAGAACUGAGUGGAGCAAAUCCAUCAGCUAUCCGAGACUUUCUACUCUAAUUUUGCUACGUGCCUCCUCCUCAUCCUUAGCAAGGGAAAGGUGCCUGUCCCACCUUAUACAAGCCUCAGUUUCUGUGAGAAGGCACCAGCUAUGGAGGGGUUAAUAAUGCCAGAGCCUGGCUUCUGUCUCCCUCCCUCUCACUGCUCUCCCUUCCCACUCUCUCCUCCCUUCAGAGCUGCCCAGCGGUGCAGGGUGGGGGGCAGAGCGGGGCUGCCUGCUCUGGGUGCUGCCUGCUGGGGGGUGCCCCUGCUCCACAGCCCCACUGUGGAGCUGUGGUGGGGGAGCUGAGGGGGACCAGGACUCCUCAACAGCCUUAAGUUUAAUCAGCUGAGAGAAGCUCCCAGGAGGAAAAGGAGAAGAGUCCUGUAGGAGCAACACAAGGGGACAGGGAAGGCCGUGUGCCCCGGGAGCCAAAACCCUGCAAAGGGGAUGCUGACAGUGGCACGUACAGAUGGGUGACUCCCGUUCCCAUCAGCUUCACCAGCUGUGAAAUAGC